GACGAACGCUGGCGGCGUGCUUAACACAUGCAAGUCGAACGGAAAGGCCCUGCUUUUGUGGGGUGCUCGAGUGGCGAACGGGUGAGUAACACGUGAGUAACCUGCCCUUGACUUUGGGAUAACUUCAGGAAACUGGGGCUAAUACCGGAUAGGAGCUCCUGCUGCAUUGUGGGGGUUGGAAAGUUUCGGCGGUUGGGGAUGGACUCGCGGCUUAUCAGCUUGUUGGUGGGGUAGUGGCUUACCAAGGCUUUGACGGGUAGCCGGCCUGAGAGGGUGACCGGCCACAUUGGGACUGAGAUACGGCCCAGACUCCUACGGGAGGCAGCAGUGGGGAAUAUUGCACAAUGGGCGGAAGCCUGAUGCAGCAACGCCGCGUGCGGGAUGACGGCCUUCGGGUUGUAAACAGCUUUAGCCUGUGACGAAGCGUGAGUGACGGUAAUGGGUAAAGAAGCACCGGCUAACUACGUG
rnacentral:rRNA from 1 species